AGUGAACGCUGGCGGUAGGCCUAACGCAUGCAAGUCGAACGGCAGCACAGUAAGAGCUUGCUCUUACGGGUGGCGAGUGGCGGACGGGUGAGGAAUACAUCGGCAUCUACUUUUUCGUGGGGGAUAACGUAGGGAAACUCACGCUAAUACCGCAUACGACCUACGGGUGAAAGCAGGGGAUCUUCGGACCUUGCGCGAUUGAAUGAGCCGAUGUCGGAUUAGCUAGUUGGCGGGGUAAAGGCCCACCAAGGCGACGAUCCGUAGCUGGUCUGAGAGGAUGAUCGGCCACACUGGAACUGAGACACGGUCCAGACUCCUACGGGAGGCAGCAGUGGGGAAUAUUGGACAAUGGGCGCAAUCCUGAUCCAGCCAUACCGCGUGGGUGAAGAAGGCCUUCGGGUUGUAAAGCCCUUUUGUUGGGAAAGAAAAGCAGCAGAUUAAUACCCCGCUGUUCUGACGGUACCCAAAGAAUAAGCACCGGCUAACUUCGUG
rnacentral:rRNA from 1 species